UGUGACCUACGAGCACUAGCAACAGAGUAUUUCUGGAUUUGAGCAGCCUUCUGCCACAGACACUAGAAACCUGCAGACUUUCCACUGGGAAGAAAUGCCUGCUUUUGGGUACGGCUACACAGACAGCUCACAGCAACUAUUUCUGGACUAAUGCAAAAUCACAAGUAGCAGAUAACUCCCUGAUAUGCAUUUUCAAUUUCUAAGUCAAGAGAAUAUGCCAGAGAAGGUUUGGCAGUUUAAGGAGGGCAGCCACUCUGUCCUGGAAUACUAUUGCUAAAUUCAUCGCGUGUCCUCAUUUUGUCUUUGCCUGCUUGAUCAUAUGCACAAACAAUGCAAUAAACUGCUGCCGUCUCCUA